AUGGGUCCUGGGGCUCCUGGGAAUCCUCGAGUUCCUUCAUCUCCUUUAGCUCCAAAAGGCCCCUGCUGCCCCCGGGGUCCAAGCUCUCCAUCAGCACCCUGCACCACAGAAGAAGACGAACAGAGACUACAUGUUAAUCACAGCACCGGGUUGACCGACAGGACCCAUUGGCCCAGGUGGACCAGGAGGACCCUACAAACGAACAACAACCACCCUGAGCAACUCAACAACAGCGAUCAUUGUGGUACUCCAAUUGGUCCGGCAGGGCCUGGCAGACCCACUGGUCCUUGCACUCCAUCACGGCCAGCUGGGCCAACGGGGCCUUUCUCUCCCUGA
ensembl:lncRNA